rnacentral:rRNA from 1 species
UACGUAGGGGGCAAGCGUUGUCCGGAUUUAUUGGGCGUAAAGAGCGUGUAGGCGGCCAUACAGGUCAGCUGUGAAAACUCGAGGCUCAACCUCGAGACGUCGGUUGAAACCGUAUGGCUAGAGUCCGGAAGAGGAGAGUGGAAUUCCUGGUGUAGCGGUGAAAUGCGCAGAUAUCAGGAAGAACACCCGUGGCUAAGGCGGCUCUCUAGUACGGUACUGACGCUGAGACGCGAAAGCGUGGGGAGCAAACAGG